UUACAACAUUUUAUCCUUCCAUAUUUGUGCUAAUAAAGUUCUGUAGCAUUUUGAGACCAGAUGGAUGGUGGCGACUGCGAGGCAGAAGGCUUAUCACAUUGGAAGUCAAAGUGCUUCAUGUAACAGUUCAAUGGCGUGGACAGCAACAACAGAUGGCUGAUUAUGUUCGUGGUUUCUUCACCUAGAUCUUGUACCCUUCUCGUUCAUGUAACUUGGGGACAAUCUCUCUUUUGCCUCUGUGGGCAAAAUAAUCCGUCUCUGCAACA